rnacentral:rRNA from 1 species
UGGGGAAUAUUGGACAAUGGGGGCAACCCUGAUCCAGCAAUGCCGCGUGUGUGAAGAAGGUUUUCGGAUCGUAAAGCACUUUCGGCGGGACGAUGAUGACGGUACCCGCAGAAGAAGCCCCGGCUAACUUCGUGCCAGCAGCCGCGGUAAUACGAAGGGGGCUAGCGUUGCUCGGAAUGACUGGGCGUAAAGGGCGUGUAGGCGGUUUGUACAGUCAGAUGUGAAAUCCCCGGGCUUAACCUGGGAGCUGCAUUUGAUACGUGCAGACUAGAGUGUGAGAGAGGGUUGUGAAUUCCCAGUGUAGAGGUGAAAUUCGUAGAUAUUGGGAAGAACAC